rnacentral:lncRNA from 1 species
AGCUGAAAUAGGAAUAACAUUUUGAGGGGAGCGGGGUCAGGGUGGCCUUUGUUGAGGUUCAGGGUCAAAGAUAAGAAGAGAGGCCUUACUGAGAUCUAAUUGGGUUCGGCAGCUAAGAAUGUCAGUUUGGGCCAAGAAAAUACUUAGGGCAGAGGCUCUUAACUCUUGGGUGCACAUUAAUAUCACCUGAGAGCUUUCAAAAAAGGCUGAUGAUUCUACUCGGCCACUCUGGGCUGGGGUCCCCUGGAAUCUGCAUUUAACCUCCCCAGGUGUUUCUAAUGUGCCGCUGGGGCUGAGAAUCAUGCCAGAGGUCGAGAGACUCACCUGUUUGCUGCUGCUUCUACAGUGAUGCUCAUGUUCUCGUGGCGGUUGGAAAACGGUGAAGCACUUCCACGCACGCAAUACCUGCCCAUUCUGUGAAUUGAGCAUUGUCCUUAUUUUCCAGGCCUCAGAUGCUGCGGGUGGGCCCACGCGGCCGCAGCCGUCAGGCGUUCUCAGCUCAACCGGAGCCAUACCAGGCUCAAGGUUGGGCAGAACCAAGGACAGGCCCUCUCACCUUCUCACCAAGGAGGGCUAAGUUGAGAAGAUUCCGAGAAGGUUGGCCCCAAGGUGGGAGUGUGAGCAUCGCAGGAUUUCUUAUUUCUAGUCCAGCUUGGGCUGAAAUAGAACCAGGAUGGAGGGUUGUGGCCAGGGGGACAGAUAGUGCCCUGGACUAUUUAAUCAAGUUAGGAGGCUCUCGUCGACUCCGUGGUGAUCCCACAGGGCCAGUAAAUGUGAUUUCUCCUCCCAAAAUUGGCGCUCCAGGAGCAGCUCUAUCCUUCUCAGCCCUGGAUUUGCUUCUAGCGGCUGCCCUGGCCCUUCUCCUCAUACCCCCUCCCCAACCCCCCAGGAGCUCCCCCAGAAUAAAUGGAAACCCUUUCCCAAGGUGGUGUUCAAGCUCCUCUAGGAAUGGCUGUGUGUCUCUAAAAGAGGCCAGAAAAAAUAAAGGCCACACAGUGAGACUGAU